ACCUCGGUGGUUUGAUGGCUUAGGACGCUAGUACGGAAUACAAGAGAUCCGGGUUCAAGUCCCGACCGAGGUA
rnacentral:tRNA from 1 species